UCCGUUCCUUCGCUCUCUCUCGGUCGUUUCACGUGUCGUUCCCAAUACACUAUCUCGACGUAAACGUGGACGUGGAUCUCUCCUCCUUCUUUCCAGCUUCCGACCCUUGAACCGCUACGUACGUUGCAAGAGGAACUGGGAGAGCGAGAAGGACAUCCACGUCACCGUAUACGUUGAGAUAGUGUCGUAGGAUCCCGGUGGAGGUACGUCCAUCUCUUGUACUGUUCUACGUAAUGUAACCAAAGAGUUACUUACCAUAUAGAAUUUAUAAAAACACUGUUGUUUGCCGAGUAGUCAAUUAUUCGUCGGAAUAAUAGGACGUGAGUCUACUAGCACGACAUCCUGAGACGACGAGUGAUCAAUCAUCAGUGAUUUGGUUUGUGAGUAGUGGAAGAGUCGUUGACGAGAGACUACAAGAGUUCGUUUACUCUGUUAGGGUACGGAUGAGUGACCGACGAAGCGAGUAUUUACACCGUUCCAUGCGGGUUUCAAGAGGGAAGUCAACUAGCGUAACGUUCAGCUACUAUCGAAGUUGUCGACCUAACUCUCGUGCCGGCUCUCACGGCCAGGACUGUUCUACUUCCCUCACACUAGAGGGUAGUAGGAGUGCAAUGUUCCCUAUACCUCUGACGUGGUGACGUCUUACUGACGCGAGAAACUUCUACGGUGCUGGGCACGACCAACUGAGUUAGGAAAGGUCCCGGUCGGAGACCUACGUCAAUCCCGCCCUCGAAGCUUUUCACCAUCUUCUUACUUCUACCCCAGUUGUUCACACGUUAUCAUUUGCGAUGGUAGACAUCCUUCCUUUCGUCCUAAGUUAUCGUUUUGGUCCAAACGACUCCGUUCCAUUGUUUGGUUGUUUGGUGUAUUCGACGGAUAUCCUUUGCUGUUAUUCAAUACCCGAAGUGGGGAUUCCUUUUAUUUAGUUCAAAACGUCUCGUUACCGUUUUGACGUACCGACCAAAUACGAAGGUGGUAUGGAAGUGUCUGUAUUAGAGGGUUCUUGGUUCUUGGUAUUGCGAGGAAUUUGGUUAACUUAAGUACUUCAACCGGUAGUCACUUGUCUAUGACACAAAGAAGAAGACAAACUGCUAUUCCUUCUCAGUUACGUUCGACAACCAAAUAGAAAUUUCCUACGAAGAUGUUGUCUUGAUGAGAUUUAACUGUUAUCUGGUUAGUGUUCGGUGUUCGUAGUAGUACAUAAAAAGAUACAGGAGUCGCUAGUCUUUGAAUAUGACUUCAUCAUCCGAACCCGUGGAUCAAAGCCUACCGCUUCAUUAUCUUAUAAGGGAACUGGUAACCGUGGUCUUCCCGGACGUUUCUUUGUGUUACACCAGACUCAUAUUUAUACCCAGAGGGUGGUAUUUAGCCUACGAUCUCCGCUAGUGGUC
rnacentral:rRNA from 1 species